CAAUAGCGUAUAUUAAAGUUGUUGCGGUUAAAAAGCUCGUAGUUGGAUUUCUGCUGAGAACGACCGGUCCGCCCUUUGGGUGUGUAUCUGGCUCUUUCUUGGCAUCUUCUUGGUGAACGUUGCUGCACUUGACUGUGUGGAGCGCUACCCAGGACUUUUACUUUGAGGAAAUUAGAGUGUUUCAAGCAGGCAUACGCCUUGAAUACAUUAGCAUGGAAUAAUAAGAUAGGACCUCGGUUCUAUUUUGUUGGUUUCUAGAGCUGAGGUAAUGAUUAAUAGGGAUAGUUGGGGGUAUUCGUAUUUAACUGUCAGAGGUGAAAUUCUUGGAUUUUUUAAAGACGAACAAUUGCGAAGGCAUCUACCCAGGAUGUUUUUGUUGA
rnacentral:rRNA from 1 species